GUGAGGAAUAUUGGACAAUGGAUGGAAAUCUGAUCCAGCCAUGCCGCGUGCAGGAAGACAGCCCUAUGGGUUGUAAACUGCUUUUAUACGGGAGCAAUAAGGUCUAUGCAUAGAUUGAUGAGAGUACCGUAUGAAUAAGCAUCGGCUAACUCCGUGCCAGCAGCCGCGGUAAUACGGAGGAUGCGAGCGUUAUCCGGAUUUAUUGGGUUUAAAGGGUGCGUAGGCGGCUUUGUAAGUCAGCGGUGAAAUUUUGCAGCUUAACUGUAAAAGCGCCGUUGAUACUGUGAAGCUAGGAUUUGGUUGCUGUGGGCGGAAUGUGUGGUGUAGCGGUGAAAUGCAUAGAGAUCACACAGAAUAUCGAUUGCGAAGGCAGCUCACAAAGCCAAUAUUGACGCUGAGGCACGAAAGUGUGGGGAUCAAACAGGAUUAGAAACCCUAGUAGUCC
rnacentral:rRNA from 1 species